ACGGUGGCUAAUACCGGAUGUGCCGAGAGGUGAAAGGCUUGCUGCCUAGAGAUGAGCUCGCGUCUGAUUAGCUAGUAGGUGGGGUAAGAGCCUACCUAGGCGACGAUCAGUAGCUGGUCUGAGAGGAUGAUCAGCCACACUGGGACUGAGACACGGCCCACACUCCUACGGGAGGCAGCAGUGGGGAAUUUUCCGCAAUGGGCGAAAGCCUGACGGAGCAAUACCGCGUGAGGGAGGAAGGCUCUUGGGUUGUAAACCUCUUUUCUCAGGGAACAACACAAUGACGGUACCUGAGGAAUCAGCAUCGGCUAACUCCGUGCCAGCAGCCGCGGUAAUACGGAGGAUGCAAGCGUUAUCCGGAAUGAUUGGGCGUAAAGCGUCCGCAGGUGGCGAUGUAAGUCUGCUGUUAAAGAGUGAGGCUCAACCUCAUAAGAGCAGUGGAAACUACAUAGCUAGAGUGCGUUCGGGGCAGAGGGAAUUCCUGGUGUAGCGGUGAAAUGCGUAGAUAUCAGGAAGAACACCGGUGGCGAAAGCGCUCUGCUAGGCCGCAACUGACACUGAGGGACGAAAGCUAGGGGAGCGAAUGGGAUUAGAUACCCCAGUAGUCCUAGCCGUAAACGAUGGAUACUAGGCGUGGCUUGUAUCGACCCGAGCCGUGCCGUAGCUAACGCGUUAAGUAUCCCGCCUGGGGAGUACGCACGCAAGUGUGAAACUCAAAGGAAUUGACGGGGGCCCGCACAAGCGGUGGAGUAUGUGGUUUAAUUCGAUGCAACGCGAAGAACCUUACCAAGACUUGACAUGUCGCGAAUCUGAGUGAAAGCUUAGAGUGCCUUCGGGAGCGCGAACACAGGUGGUGCAUGGCUGUCGUCAGCUCGUGUCGUGAGAUGUUGGGUUAAGUCCCGCAACGAGCGCAACCCUCGUUUUUAGUUGCCAGCAUUAAGUUGGGCACUCUAGAGAGACUGCCGGUGACAAACCGGAGGAAGGUGGGGAUGACGUCAAGUCAGCAUGCCCCUUACGUCUUGGGCUACACACGUACUACAAUGCUACGGACAGAGGGCAGCAAGCCGGCGACGGCAAGCAAAUCCCGAAAACCGUAGCUCAGUUCAGAUCGCAGGCUGCAACUCGCCUGCGUGAAGGAGGAAUCGCUAGUAAUUGCAGGUCAGCAUACUGCAGUGAAUUCGUUCCCGGGCCUUGUACACACCGCCCGUCACACCAUGGAAGCUGGCAACGCCCGAAGUCAUUACUCCAACGAUUCGUCGAGGAGG
rnacentral:rRNA from 1 species